UGGCCCAUGCACAGUAUCUACG
rnacentral:miRNA from 1 species